rnacentral:tRNA from 1 species
GGUACUGUGGCCGAGUGGUUAAGGCGCUGUGUUCAGGCCGCAGUCUUCGGGCGCGGGUUCGAAUCCCGUCGGUGCCA